CUCCUUGCAGAGAAGAUGAGCUUUGCCUCCUGCAGUUCUGUGAUGGGCUGUUGUUACCUCUGGACGGUCCAAAGCACCAACUUCUUGAAGCAGCUGCUCCAUAAGAAAACUUCCAAAUCUAUGUUAGGAAAACGAACAGCUUCAAGUGAAGGCCAAACCUGCCCAUGGCACUGCAUUUGUGGGCGGUGCACAGAUGAGCACAGUGUAACUUCAAACUGUUACCCAGUCCAACACAAAAAAAGCACGUCAAAAACUUAGUCAGAAAAAGCAAAACCUUUCUCUGCUGUAGUUUAACUGGAAUUGAAUCUGAGAGACUCAGAAUACUACAUUACCCUUUGCAAAAAUUAUUGCUGGAUCUGAACUACACCAAAUAAUUUGACCACAUGUAUUGAAAUCAGCCUGAUAUAUUCUUUCCUGUAGCAUAGCUCCAGUGUUGGUCGUUUUCCCACCACCUCCCAAGGCUCUUCAGCCUUAGCCUUCAAAGCCCAGCAUGAAUCAGGUGUGCAGUGGGUUUAAACACAUUGGACAGGACGUGACCGUGGGCUGAUUGAACUUCAGUGUGGGGACUGUGUGCUCUCAGCUCCUGUGUGAUGUUAUGCACACCCAGGAAAAUACUUUCUGAGCUAUAGUAGAGGGCAUUGGUUCUGCCCUUACCAGCAGGGCCAGGAAGGCGAAAGCAAGGAGGGAUGUGGGAGGGAUGCUGGACAUGUAGAAACCAGGGGUUUUGCAGCAGGGGAGGAUAUUUACAGUCUGCAGUUAGAAUGGGGUAUGUUAAUGUCAGUCAUUUUCAUUGGGUGAUGGGCCACUGAAGGACUGCUAAGGUGAUGGCAGGGAGUGGAGCACCUCUGAGGGGCCCAGGGAUCCACGCAUGCACAGCCUGGGGCAGAGGAGGCUCAGCAGUACCUCAUCCAUGGCCCUACAUACCUGAAGGGAGGGCACAGAGGGGCUGGAGCCGGGCUCUUGUCAGGGAAGCCGUGGGCCCCUCAAAUGUUUACUGUAUUCUUCAGUGACAUCAUGCUAACAACGUGUGAAUGAAUGCGUGUCCAUUGCAGCCUUUAGCUCUCCUGGUGCUUGUGGAACAGGAGAAUGGCAUUAACCCAGUUAUCUGCCUGGAAUGAAGAGCAGCAUGGACGAUGCUGGGGUACACAAGCUCAAAAGCAAUGGGGUUUACUAUCUAAGAACUUCUGGAAGUGCAGACUGGUUUACAGUGGUCUAAAUAGAUGAAGCGUGAGUUGGAGCUUUCUACUGAGCCACGUAGAAUUCAUUUCCCUCUGUCACAGGGCUUGCAGGGCAGCAUAGGUCUGGAAGUCACGUGCUGAGCAUUGCCAGGGUCCUGCUUUUUUAGCAGAGUUGUGAUUCAGUCUGAAAGCCUUUAAAGCUGCAUGGGAUUCCAUGCUGCUGCUGUGGGUGUGUUGUGAUGGGAUGUUGCAGGCGAAG
ensembl:lncRNA